AUGGAAGGAGAUGAAAUUGUUCAAGAUCCAGGUGUUGGGCAAGUUGCUAGGAAAUAUAAAACCCUUAAUGACCAGCAAAAAUUUGCUGCUUAUGUAGCAAUGCAUACACUGUGUAUGAGUAGAGGAGGCACUUUUUUGGGAACUGACAAGCAAGACAUUGCAAAUUUUUUCGGAGUGGGUGUUUGGAGUAUACAAAGAAUUUGGAGAAAAGCAAUGAGGCAAAUUAGCGAAGGUAAAGAGGUGGAUGUUUCUAAUAAAAAAAAGGAAAUUCUGGAAGAAAGCCUAAGGACAUUAAUCUAG
rnacentral:rRNA from 1 species